rnacentral:rRNA from 1 species
AUUGAACGCUGGCGGCAGGCCUAACACAUGCAAGUCGAGCGGAGCGGCGGACGGGUGAGUAAUGCCUAGGAAUCUGCCUGGUAGUGGGGGAUAACGUCCGGAAACGGGCGCUAAUACCGCAUACUAUCAGAUGAGCCUAGGUCGGAUUAGCUAGUUGGUGGGGUAAAGGCCUACAAAGGCGACGAUCCGUUACUGGUCUGAGGGGAUGAUCAGUAACACGGGAACUGAGCAACGGUCCAGACUCCGACGGGAGACAGCAGUGGGAAAUAUUGGACAAGGAGCGAAAGCCUGAUCCAGCCAUGCCGCGUGUGUGAAGAAGGUCUUCAGAUUGUAAAGCACUUUAAGUUGGGAGGCGGUACCAACAGAAUAAGCACCGGCUAACUUCGUGCCAGCAGCCGCGGUAAUUC